rnacentral:lncRNA from 1 species
GAGGGGCAGUGUCCCUACCCAGGCUUGGAGGAGGAGCCUCAAGGGGUGUGUGUGGUUGGGGGAGACAGGCGGUGUCACCUGUGCUUAGACCAGGGGCGGUGGGCGGGUACCCUUGAGGUGGCAAGGUCACACUGCUCAUCAGAAGUUUCUCACUAGGGUCUUCUCUGGCCCAGCCUUUGACUGAAGCUGGUCUGGAGACAGGGGCGUUAGAGAAGUGACUCAUAGAUGGCCUAAAUAAGCGGGGCCACUCAAGGACCCAGGACAGGGGGAAGAGGGCCAACCCAUCUGGACCGCAGGCAAACCCCAUGGCCUUUGAGAGAAGAGAGAAGAGGACCCGGUGAAGUAGGCUCCGAGGGCCUCAGCCCAGCAGGAGCGCAGGGAGCUGCACCAGGAACUCACAGAGGAUCAGGGAGAAUUCUGAGAACAUGCUACUGUGGUGCUGCCUAGAGAGGAAGGAUAAAUGAUGACAAGUACAUCUCUGAGUAACGGAGUUCAAGCAGGCUGGAUGGGUCCAUCUAUGGAUGAUCUUCCCCAGCCCCUUCCUCUUCCCAGCUCAUCCCUGGCUCUCUGUGUGAACAGGUCUCAUCAGUGGAAUGUGGUUGAUGAAGUGAGGUCUUCAAUUUUCUCAUCUACUGUGUGGUCAUGUUAUUUUCCUCAUCUGAGGCUUAAAAACUCACCUGCAUGCAGCACAUGACAGCUUAAAAUCUCUUGUGAACAAAACAGUAACAAAGACACCCACCAGCGUUGAGCAUCCCGUGUUGAUGACAGCGACCACCAGGGGUCAACGUCCUCUUCACAAUCCUGUGUCAGAGCAUCACUUGACUGAUUUCAUUAGCAACUUCCCAGGAGAAUCAGCUUACAAAAUACUUGUCCCAUUUUCCAUGCAGAUGUAACCCAUCUAUUUUACUGAAGAAAUGGGAAGAGCUGAAUGCUGAAUACACUGAAUGUCUGCAGGUUGUGCAAGUUUGUGACUUUAUCACUUUCUAAUUUCUGAUCUGUGUGGACCACUCUACAGAUUUUUCUCACUGGUGUGAUCAGCCUUCUGGAUGUCAAAUAUAAUAGACUUUCAAUAAUAUAAAAGUCAACACAAGCUCCUCAUGGUUUCAGUGCUCAGUGAUGACUCUAAACUUACACAAUGUGUUUCUUUAUUAGUUUUGUUUUCUGGUAUCUCUACUCGGCAUCUUCACCACACCCAUUUUAUGUUUCUUAUACAGGCUUUCUUCUAUGAAAUGCUAUGUCAUGAAUAUGCAAAUAACCUGAGAUCCACUGAGGUAAAUUUGGAUGUCUGUGCCCUGAGAGCAUCACCCAACAACCACAUCCCUCCUCUAUAGAAGCCCCUGAGAACACAGCUCCUCACCAUGGACUGUACCUGGGGGAUCCACUUCUUGGUGGCAGCUGCCACAGGUGUCCAUUCCCAGGUUCAGCUGUUGCAGCCUGGGGCUGAGGUGAAGAAGCCUGGGUCCUCAGUGAAGGUCUCCUGCCAGGCUUCCAGAUACACCUUCACCAAAUACUUUACACGGUGGGUGUGACAAAGCCCUGGACAAGGGCAUAGUGGAUGGGAUGAAUCAACCCUUACAAUGAUAACACACACUAUGCACAGACGUUCUGGGGCAGAGUCACCAUUACCAGUGACAGGUCCAUGAGCACAGCCUACAUGGAGCUGAGCAACCUGAGAUCUGAAGACAUGGUCAUGUAUUACUGUGUGAGAGACACAGUGCAAAAACCCACAUCCUGAGAGUGUCAGAAACCCCAGGAAGGAGACACCUGUGCUGACACAGAGGAGAUGACAAAGAUUAUUAGAUUAAAGAUUUGCUUAGAAAAUGACAUUAAGUCAUUAAAGAAAAGGAACAAUAUUAAUGUGUAUUUGAGAAAUUUUAAUUAUUUGAGAGAUUUUUCAUACAACAUUUAUUCUGUAAACAAAUUUCAAUGAUUAGAGAAUUAAUCAAAUUAAUGAAACUAAUAUAGAACUUCCUCUGAAGGUAUCUCUGUAAACAUUAAUUUCUUAAUCAGUGCUGUAAGUAUUUUGGAAUACAGACACAAAAUCACAUUUUAAGUCUGCAUUUAUAUCUAUUAAAAAUGCCAAAAAAAUCUCCUUUUGUGCGUGUAGCAUUUUGAAUUCCCACCAUCAAUGCAUGAUAGUUCUUGGUUUUCCACAUUCAUAUUGCCAUGUAUCCUUAUGAGAGUUGUGUGUUUUAACCAAUCUAGUAGGUGAGUAAUGGGAUCUAAUUUUUAUUUAAAUGCACAUGUCCCUCAAAAAGUUCAUAUUUAACAAUUUUCCAAUAACUUUUGUUGAGAUGCCU